rnacentral:rRNA from 1 species
AGAAGCGGNGNGCUANNACAUGCAAGUCGUACGAGAAAGGGUCCUUCGGGACCUGAGUAAAGUGGCGCACGGGUGAGUAACGCGUGGAUAAUCUGCCCUUGAGUCGGGAAUAACUCAUCGAAAGGUGGGCUAAUACCGGAUAAUGCUGUUUUCGCUUUGGCGAGACAGCCAAAGGGGGCCUCUAUUUAUAAGCUCUUGCUUAAGGAUGAGUCCGCGUACCAUUAGCUAGUUGGUGGGGUAAUGGCCUACCAAGGCGACGAUGGUUAGCUGGUCUGAGAGGAUGAUCAGCCACACUGGAACUGAGACACGGUCCAGACUCCUACGGGAGGCAGCAGUGAGGAAUCUUGCGCAAUGGGGGCAACCCUGACGCAGCAACGCCGCGUGAGUGAGGAAGGUUUUCGGAUUGUAAAGCUCUGUCGGGUGGAAAGAAAUGCAUGGGGGCUAAUACCUCUCAUGCUUGACGGUACCACCAAAGGAAGCACCGGCUAACUCCGUGCCAGCAGCCGCGGUAAUACGGGGGGUGCAAGCGUUGUUCGGAAUUAUUGGGCGUAAAGAGCGUGUAGGCGGCUUGAUAAGCCAGAUGUGAAAGCCCUGGGCUUAACCCAGGAAGUGCAUUUGAAACUGUCUCGCUAGAGUAAGGGAGGGGGAAGUGGAAUUCCUGGUGUAGAGGUGGAAUUCGUAGAUAUCAGGAGGAACACCGGUGGCGAAGGCGACUUCCUGGCCCUAUACUGACGCUGAGACACGAGAGCGUGGGUAGCAAACAGGAUUAGAUACCCUGGUAGUCCACGCCGUAAACGAUGUUCACUAGGUGUUGGGGGUAUUGACCCCCUCAGUGCCGGAGCUAACGCAUUAAGUGAACCGCCUGGGGAGUACGGUCGCAAGACUAAAACUCAAAGGAAUUGACGGGGGCCCGCACAAGCGGUGGAGCAUGUGGUUUAAUUCGAUGCAACGCGAAGAACCCUUACCUGGACUUGACAUCCACGGAACCUGCUGGGAAACAGGUGGGGGUGCCCUUCGGGGGAGGCCGUGAGACAGGUGCUGCAUG